rnacentral:rRNA from 1 species
GACGAACGCUGGCGGCGUGUCUAAUACAUGCAAGUCGAGCGAAUGGAUUAAGAGUUUGCUCUUAUGAAGUUAGCGGCGGACGGGUGAGUAACACGUGGGUAACCUGCCCAUAAGACUGGGAUAACUCCGGGAAACCGGGGCUAAUACCGGAUAACAUUUUGAACCGCAUGGUUCGAAAUUGAAAGGCGGCUUCGGCUGUCACUUAUGGAUGGACCCGCGUCGCAUUAGCUAGUUGGUGAGGUAACGGCUCACCAAGGCAACGAUGCGUAGCCGACCUGAGAGGGUGAUCGGCCACACUGGGACUGAGACACGGCCCAGACUCCUACGGGAGGCAGCAGUAGGGAAUCUUCCGCAAUGGACGAAAGUCUGACGGAGCAACGCCGCGUGAGUGAUGAAGGCUUUCGGGUCGUAAAACUCUGUUGUUAGGGAAGAACAAGUGCUAGUUGAAUAAGCUGGCACCUUGACGGUACCUAACCAGAAAGCCACGGCUAACUACGUGCCAGCCGCCGCGGUAA